rnacentral:rRNA from 1 species
AUGGCGGCGCGACUCCGCGACCCCGCCACGCUGCUCCCGUCCCUCGUCGGGGCCUCCUCCCCCCAUUCCCGCCUCCGCGAGAUCCACGCGCACCUCCUCGUCUCGGGCCGCCUCGCCUCUCCCUCCCACCACGCCGACUUCGUCGCCUCCCUCGCCUCCUCCAGCCACCUCUCCUACGCGCGCCUCCUCCUGCCCCGGCGCCCGGCCACGCUACUCGUCCACAACGGCCUCCUCCGCGCCCUCGCCCGCGGACCAUGCCCCGGCCUCGCCUUCGCGGCCUUCCGCGAGCUCCCCCUCGCGCCCGAUCACUACUCGUUCACCUUCCUCGUCCGCGCCGCGACCUCCCUGGCCGCCGCCGCCUCCUCGGCGACGCCCGUGCCCACCGAUGUCGCCGUGAGCCUGCUCGCUGGUUCCGUGCACGCGGCGGCGUUCCGCCACGGCCAUGCAGCGGACCUGCACGUCCAGAGCGGCGCCGUAUCCAUGUACGCGGCGGUCGGGGACGUGGGCGCCGUGCGGGCCGCCUUCGCGGAGAUCAUGAGCCCGGACGUGGUGUGCGUCACUGCUAUGUUGGGCGCUCUCUCAGCCGGAGGCGAUGUUGACACUGCGCGCGAGCUGUUUGACAGAAUGCCGCAGCAGGACCAUGUCGCCUGGAACGCCAUGCUCACAGGUUAUGUGCGCGUGGGCAGGGCAAGGGAAGCCUUGGGGCUGUUCGACGAAAUGCAGAAGGCUGGGGUUUCUGUCGGUGAGGCGACUCUGGUGUCAGUGCUCACUGCCUGUGCACAGAUGGGUGCACUAGAACGUGGCAUGUGGGUGCACUCCUAUGUGUGCAGCCGAGGGAUGCGGGUUUCGGUCACACUGGGCACUGCUUUGCUGGAUAUGUAUUCCAAGUGUGGAGUUGUCACGAUGGCGAUGGAGGUGUUCGAGAGCAUGACCGAAAGGAACAUCUACACCUGGACCAGCGCACUGAGCGGCCUCGCGAUGAAUGGCAUGGGGGAGGAGUGUCUUGAGCUGUUCAAGCGUAUGGAGAGCACAGGCAUGGAGCCUAAUGGUGUCACAUUUGUCGCGGUGCUCCGUGGAUGCUCCGUGGCUGGGUUGGUAGAAGAGGGACGAGCAUGCUUUGAUUCGAUGAAGGAUAAGCACAAAGCUGAGCCUUGGCUUGAGCACUACGGCUGCAUGGUUGAUUUGUAUGGUCGAGCAGGGUGUCUGGAUGAUGCUGUCAAUUUCAUCAAUUCUAUGCCAGUGGAGCCACAUGAAGGUGUCUGGGGAGCACUACUCAACGCUUCUCGGAUUCACAACAACGCCGAUCUGGGCAAACACGCAAUGUACAAGCUCACGAAGAUUGAGUCCAAAAAUGAUGCGGCUCACGUGUUGCUGUCUAAUAUAUACGCGGAGUCGCACAACUGGAAGGGCGUCAGCAAAGUUCGGAACAUGAUGAAGUCCAAGGGAGUGAAAAAGGUGCCUGGGUGUAGUGCCAUUGAGGUUGAUGGCAAGGUGCAUGAGUUCUUCGUCGGGAGCAAGUCUCACCCCAGAUACAAGGAUAUCGAGACCAUGCUUGCAGGUAUGAGCCAUAAGCUGAGAUUGCAAGGGUACACCGCAAACACAAAAGAGGUAUUAUUCGAUAUCGAGGAAGAGGAGAAAGAAGGUGCGAUCUCCUUGCACAGUGAGAAGCUUGCCCUCGCCUUCGGUCUUAUCACGUUGCCAGAAGGCACGGUGAUCAGGAUCGUGAAGAACUUGAGAGUGUGCAAGGACUGCCAUGAUUAUACCAAGAUGAUAUCUAAGGUCUUCGACAGGGAGAUUGUUAUGAGAGAUAGGAAUAGGUUUCACCAUUUCAAGCAUGGCGCGUGCUCCUGUAGGGAUUACUGGUGA